CCUACGGGUGGCAGCAGUGGGGAAUAUUGCACAAUGGGGGAAACCCUGAUGCAGCAACGCCGCGUGAGCGAUGAAGGCCUUCGGGUCGUAAAGCUCUGUCCUAAGGGAAGAAUACUGACGGUACCUUAGGAGGAAGCCCCGGCUAACUACGUGCCAGCAGCCGCGGUAAUACGUAGGGGGCUAGCGUUAUCCGGAAUUACUGGGCGUAAAGGGUGCGUAGGCGGCCCUUCAAGUCAGAGGUGAAAGGCGACGGCCCAACCGUAGUAAACCUUUGAAACUGUAGGGCUUGAGGGCAGGAGAGGAGAGUGGAAUUCCCAGUGUACCGGUGAAAUACGUAGAUAUUGGGAGGACCCUCAGUUGCGAAGGCGGCUCUCUGGACUGUAACGGACGCGGAGGCACGAAAGCGUGGGGCGCGAACAGGAUUAGAUACCCUAGUAGCC
rnacentral:rRNA from 1 species